UGCAAGUCGAACGAACUCUGGUAUUGAUUGGUGCUUGCAUCAUGAUUUACAUUUGAGUGAGUGGCGAACUGGUGAGUAACACGUGGGAAACCUGCCCAGAAGCGGGGGAUAACACCUGGAAACAGAUGCUAAUACCGCAUAACAACUUGGACCGCAUGGUCCGAGCUUGAAAGAUGGCUUCGGCUAUCACUUUUGGAUGGUCCCGCGGCGUAUUAGCUAGAUGGUGGGGUAACGGCUCACCAUGGCAAUGAUACGUAGCCGACCUGAGAGGGUAAUCGGCCACAUUGGGACUGAGACACGGCCCAAACUCCUACGGGAGGCAGCAGUAGGGAAUCUUCCACAAUGGACGAAAGUCUGAUGGAGCAACGCCGCGUGAGUGAAGAAGGGUUUCGGCUCGUAAAACUCUGUUGUUAAAGAAGAACAUAUCUGAGAGUAACUGUUCAGGUAUUGACGGUAUUUAACCAGAAAGCCACGGCUAACUACGUGCCAGCAGCCGCGGUAAUACGUAGGUGGCAAGCGUUGUCCGGAUUUAUUGGGCGUAAAGCGAGCGCAGGCGGUUUUUUAAGUCUGAUGUGAAAGCCUUCGGCUCAACCGAAGAAGUGCAUCGGAAACUGGGAAACUUGAGUGCAGAAGAGGACAGUGGAACUCCAUGUGUAGCGGUGAAAUGCGUAGAUAUAUGGAAGAACACCAGUGGCGAAGGCGGCUGUCUGGUCUGUAACUGACGCUGAGGCUCGAAAGUAUGGGUAGCAAACAGGAUUAGAUACCCUGGUAGUCCAUACCGUAAACGAUGAAUGCUAAGUGUUGGAGGGUUUCCGCCCUUCAGUGCUGCAGCUAACGCAUUAAGCAUUCCGCCUGGGGAGUACGGCCGCAAGGCUGAAACUCAAAGGAAUUGACGGGGGCCCGCACAAGCGGUGGAGCAUGUGGUUUAAUUCGAAGCUACGCGAAGAACCUUACCAGGUCUUGACAUACUAUGCAAAUCUAAGAGAUUAGACGUUCCCUUCGGGGACAUGGAUACAGGUGGUGCAUGGUUGUCGUCAGCUCGUGUCGUGAGAUGUUGGGUUAAGUCCCGCAACGAGCGCAACCCUUAUUAUCAGUUGCCAGCAUUAAGUUGGGCACUCUGGUGAGACUGCCGGUGACAAACCGGAGGAAGGUGGGGAUGACGUCAAAUCAUCAUGCCCCUUAUGACCUGGGCUACACACGUGCUACAAUGGAUGGUACAACGAGUUGCGAACUCGCGAGAGUAAGCUAAUCUCUUAAAGCCAUUCUCAGUUCGGAUUGUAGGCUGCAACUCGCCUACAUGAAGUCGGAAUCGCUAGUAAUCGCGGAUCAGCAUGCCGCGGUGAAUACGUUCCCGGGCCUUGUACACUCCGCCCGUCACACCAUGAGAGUUUGUAACACCCAAA
rnacentral:rRNA from 2 species